rnacentral:rRNA from 1 species
GACGAACGCUGGCGGCGUGCUUAACACAUGCAAGUCGAACGAUGAAGCCGGAGCUUGCUCUGGUGAAUUAGUGGCGAACGGGUGAGUAACACGUGAGUAACCUGCCCUUGACUCUGGAUAACUGCGGGAAACUGUAGCUAAUACCGGAUACGACCCUCGGAGGCAUCUCCUGGGGGUGGAAAGAAUUUCGGUCAAGGAUGGACUCGCGGCCUAUCAGCUAGUUGGUGAGGUAAAGGCUCACCAAGGCGACGACGGGUAGCCGGCGUGAGAGGGGGACCGGGCACACUGGGACUGAGACACGGCCCAGACUCCUACGGGAGGCAGCAGUGGGGAAUAUUGCACAAUGGGCGCAAGCCUGAUGCAGCAACGCCGCGUGAGGGAUGACGGCCGUCGGGUUGUAAACCUCUUUUAGCAGGGAAGAAGCGAAAGUGACGGUACCUGCAGAAAAAGCACCGGCUAACUACGUGCCAGCAGCCGCAGUAA